rnacentral:lncRNA from 1 species
CUACUCUAACUUGAAAGAGAGAGGAAUUAAUCAAAUUUCUAGCUGUCAACUCGUCAGUUUGGACAAACAGUCGGAUGGUCGGUUGUUGUUAAGAACGUCUACUGAAGAAUUAGAAACGGAUGUAGUUAUCUUUGCGACAGGAAGGAUACCAAAUACAACUAGACCGAAACUUGGGCUAGAAAGUGUGGGGGUCGAACUUUCUGCAACGGGUGCCAUAAAAGUGGAUGAAUACAGUAGAACUACGGUGAGCAAUAUAUGGGCUGUUGGUGAUGUUACCGAUAGAGUCAAUUUGACACCGGUUGCGCUUAUGGAAGGGAUGGCCUUUGUAGACACAGUCGUAAGGGGUAAUCCGACUAAACCGGAUUAUGAGAAUAUACCAUGUGCAGUAU